GGAUUAGAUACCCUGGUAGUCCAUGCAGUAAACGAUGAGUGCUAGAUGUUGGGAAUUUAAAUUUCCAGUAUCGCAGUUAACGCGUUAAGCACUCCGCCUGGGAAGUACGGCCGCAAGGCUAAAACUCAAAUGAAUUGACGGGGACCCGCACAAGCGGUGGAUCAUGUGGUUUAAUUCGAAGAUACGCGAAGAACCUUACCGGCCCUUGACAUACCAAUCGCGGACUUAAGAGAUUAAGUCUUUCACUUCGGGUGGAUUGGAUACAGAUGCUGCAUGGUUGUCGUCAGCUCGUGCCG
rnacentral:rRNA from 1 species